CAUCUUUCUCCAAGUUUGCCGGGUUCACGGGGGUCCGACUUGGUUGGACUGUGGUACCUAAGGAGCUGUUAUACUUGAACCGGUAUCCAGUAAUAAAGGAUUUCAAUAGGGUAGUGUGCACCUGCUUCAAUGGUGCUUCCAGUAUUGCCCAGGCUGGUGGCCUAGCUUGCCUUUCCCCGAGGGCUACCUGGUUAGGCUCUCUCUUUCUCUCUCUUUUCCACUUCUCUCUAAUAGCUUUAACUGUUGAUAAUGUAGGUCUUAACUGAUGUGAUGUCCAAAUACUUCUGAAUCUCCGAAACCUUGAUCACAUCAUGGGGAUUGCACCUAUGUGACAGACAUUUGAAAUAGAAAGCUGAUAGGUGGAGAAAAUGCUUGAUAUGCAUAUUGCAUCAAAAUCUCCCAAAGAAGAUAACACUUGGAUUUAGAAGUAUUCACUUGCCUAGAAGGAGUAUGCUUUUAUCAAAGAAAGAUACUAAAACCUAUCUUUAUCAAUCAAUCUGGCUCAUCUCAAAGAUGUGGUAUCACAUCCAAUUUGGGCUUUUAUACAUGCUGCCUUCAGCAAGAAUUCUAUGUCAUUUGAGCAUCUUUCUUGGAUAGAAUGGAUUGUAUGAUGGAAUAUAGAGAUGAAUGCUUGGACCAUUCAACUUUUGGAUAUUAUGGCAUGUAAUAUAUGAAGGUUGCUUCUUUCCUUUUUGAUAUCCUUGACAACACAUGUUUGUACUAUGAAAAAGAUUGAUAGUUGUGGGAAGAUUUGGAGCUUGAUGUGCGAACAUUUGUUUGGGAAAACAUUUUGUAAUAACUUUACUUUGAAGUUUUUUUUUUUUGUUUGGCAAUUAUUAUUUCAAAGUAUACAUUUUGAAUUUUAUUUGUAUUAGAACUUGAGGAUUCGUAUGAUAGCUAUAGUGGAGGGUUGAGAUAAUGCCUCUUACCUCAUUUGGUUGCUUCUGUUAAAGUCAAUAGGGGCCUUGAACUUUGCCCAAAUGAGUUCCAU